CCGCCUCGGCCUCCCAAAGUGCUGGGAUUAUAGGCGUGAGCCACCAUGCCCGGCCUGUGUUAAGAGUUUUUGGGAAGACAUGUUCUCCUGGUAGGAAGGUCCAGUUGGUGAUGCCUUCCUGGGGCUUUGGGAGGGCCUGGUCUGCUUGUUCACGGAGGAUACGGCAGAUGAGGUAAAGUGUUGGGAGGUCUUCUCCUAGCUGAGUUAGAAGGGGACCUAUUUUGUAAGAGGAAGGGCGUCCAUACAUUAACUCAAAGGGGCUGAGGAAGGAGGGUGGUUUUGGGCUGGCUCUGAUGUGGGUUAGGGCUACGGGCAGAAGGGAGGUCCAGGGUUUCUGGACUUCAGGAGUGAGUUUAGUUAACUGAAUUUUAAGGAUCCCAUUUGACCUUUCAACUUUUUCUGAUGACUGGGGUUGGUAUGGGAUAUGGAGGUGCCACUGGAUGCCAAGGGACUAAGAGACUUGUUAGGUGAUUUGGGAGAUGAAGCUAGGGCCACUCUCUGAUUGUAUGGAGCACAGGAGGCUGUUAAAAGAAUUUGGGAAACUACUGCAGCUGUUUUUGAGGAGAUGGGAAAGAAUUCCACCUACCCGGAGAAGGUGUCUACAAGAGUAAGAAGAAACAGUUUUCUUAACAGUAGGGAUGUGGGUAAAGUCUAUUGCCAGUCUUCUCCUGGGAGUGUUCCUCUUAGCUGAUGUGUAGGGAUGGGAGGAGAGCAGAGGACUCCUUAGGAGGAAGUGACAGAGCACAUACAACAAUUUGAGGUUAUGUCUUUCAGUGAGGUAAAUAGGUAAGGGGAAGAGAAACAAGGGUGAAGAAGUAGGUACGGGGGGUACGCACUGAUAUGGAAAGACCGGUGAAGAGAUGUUAGAAUUUCUUUGGUUUUUGCUUGGGGAGGAUGAGUUUUUGAUCUUUGACUAUCCAGUUCCCUUGGAAGGAGGUCCUUUGUUGUAGCAGUGACGCUCUUUCAGUGGGAGAAUACUGGGUUUGAGUGGUGGGGGUAAUGAGGAAGAGAGGGGCAGGGGCAGAAAAAAGGGAGGCUUCUUUUGCUGCCCCGUCAACCUGUUUCCUCUGGAGAUCUCAUCUGACCCUGUUUGGUGUCCUUGACAGUUUACAACCCCUGCUUUAGCCGGAAGGUGUGCAGCUGGGAGGAGUUGGUAAAUAAGGGGGCCAUUAGUGAUGGAGGUUUCUUUGGCAGGAAGAAAUCCUCUCUCUUGCCAGAUGGUGGCGUAAGAAUGGAGAAUGUGAUCGGCAUAUUUGGAGUCAGUAAAAAUGUUGACUCAUUUUUCUUUAGAGAGGGUUAGGGCCCUGAUGAGAGCUCCAAGUUCUGUCUUUUGGGAGGAGGUCCCUAGGGAUAGGGGUUUAGCUUCAAUUACACGGUCAAGGGAGACGACUGCACACCGAGCGAUUUUAUGGGAGUCAACUGAUUUGGAAGAGGAGCCGUCUAUAAAUAACUGGUCAUCAGGAUCGGGGACAGGUUCAGGAGAGAUAUUAGGGAAAUGAGGCUGUGGGUGAUCAAGGAUUUCAGUACAGGAGUGUGUGGGAGAGAAGGAGUAUACCGGAAGUAGAGAUGUAGGAUUGAGGGAGGAUUGAGGAUCUCCAGAUGUGGAGUGCCACAUCUGGAGAGGUGGAACUUGGUUUUCAAGAAAGAGGGCAUGGAGUAGUUGGAUACAAGGAGAAAGUGCUCAGUGCUCCAGAGAAGAGAUCUUGUAGAUUUUGUGGGCUGUGGACUGUGGUGUCUUGACUGAAUGUUUUUUGUUUUCUAAGGGUAGGGUGGCAGCUACUGCUAGCGCUCUGGGGCAGGUGGGCCACCCUCGGGCGAUGCUGUCUAGUAGAGGUAAGCUAUGGGAGCAAAGAAAGGAGGAUUUCCUUUAUUGUUGGCCAAGGACACCAAGAGCUAUUCCAUGGUUUUUUGCUGUGUAGGGAAUGAAGGGUGGAGACAUGUCAAGCAAAGAUAGAGUAGGAGCUUUACGUUUGUGGAAGCUAGGGAUUAUGUUGUGUGAAGGAUCUAGGGGCUGAUUGAAUGGGCUUUUAGCUGCUUCAUAGAGGGGGUGGGCUAGGAGGGCAAAAUUGGGAAUCCAUAUUCUGAAGAAGCCUGCUAGUCUUAGGAAAGAGGAUUUCACUCUUAGAGAGUCAGCGCAGAGUACUUCUGUGCCCAGAUGUGUGGACACUUUUCCUCACACACCAAGUAUUUUCUACGGUGGACAUCACAUCCCAUAGGCUUCAAUUCCUCGUUGGUCUUCCUUCAUUCAUCAGAUUACCACAAGUGGCCCCUGAACAGGGACAUGAGAUACAGGGACCUGAAUGAAGAAGGUCUGCUGGAGCAGAGGUUGUGGAACUGAUUAGACAGAUGAGGAACCCCGAUCUGCCGGCAGUGAAUAUAAGACCCCCUCCCCAGACCCAGUUCCUAGAAGCGCGGACCCGAGAGCUUUCCUGGGACAAGGGCUCGGCUCUCCCACAGCCCAAGGCCCUUCUUCUACCAGCGCAACAGGUACCUGGAAGGAAACUUCUGCGCAGCACAGGCCGAGAAUCACGGUAAGAAAAGAGGGCCCUACAGAAUAAAGAGAGGCUAUGGUAGAGGACAGACAGAAAUCCUGCCCUGCCAGGCAGGUGGGGGACCAGUCACCGCUCAAAGGUUGUCUAUUAGCCUGACCCAAAAGGUGGCUGGGGGCAGUGAGGAAAGGACUUCACCAAUUCAGGCUGAGAUACAACCCUGAUGCUGGCAUAAAGCAGCAGCCACCGGUGUGAGUGAGUCUGAGCCAAUAGAGCGCUGAGUGCAGCGGGGCCGAACUUGCUGCUAGGGCGGCAAGAGCAGCUUGCCACCCCAACUGGGAGUGUGUCAGUGGAUGUGAACACACCCGGGACCGCCAGACAGGCUCAGUUUUGUCCAAUGAGGAGUCCUGGGGAGGCAGAGGUGUGCGGGUGCCGGACGUCCGUUAAGAGUGGACUGUACAUUACCAGUGAAGUGUGGGGCUAACUGGGACUAGGGGUGAACAUCCUUAGGGGCUACUGCAUACGGCUGAAGGAGGUACCCCCACAGUCUAGGUAUUGUGGGGGAAGUAAUGAACUCUCCAAUGUCAUGUGGUGUCUGAAACACUCCCACAAGGGAGACAGUCUAAUUGGCCCAAAGUGAAAGUGAUUGUGUGCCAUGAGGAAGGAAAUGGGAGGAAAAGAAUCCAAGGAAUUAAAGCCCACUCCCUUAAGAGUGCAUGCUAAAGAAUUUCAAGAAAGCUUACAGUAAAGCUGACCCCCUCAAAGGUGAACACUGAAAUAGAAUGGCCUGGUUUUGGCAUAGGUUGGCCGCCAGAGGGCGCCCUUGAUUGGCGAAUCACCCGCUGGGUUUUUGAAAUAAUAACGGGCAACAGAUGAACCUGGACACCCGUUUUGUUUCCCAGUCUGCUCCAGACAUCUGGCACAAACUUAAAAAAGCUGAAGAUGGCCCUCAAACCCCACAAGACCUCCUUAACCUGGUCUUCAAUAAAUAGACAAAGCUAAACCUAAACAGCCUGGCUGUGGCACCCAGGGGCACAAAAGAUCCAAUAGCAAUGCACCUCCAAGGGCAUGUUUCAAGUGCAGCAAGGAAGGACAUUAGGCACAAGCAUAUCCAAAUCCGUGGGUGCCAAAAAGCCCUUGCUCCAUCUGCUAGCACACAGGCCACUGGAAGCUGACUGUCCUCUCAACAGGCAGACAGAAAAGCCUUAACCUCCAACCUGCAACCCCUUCACCAAGACAAAAGGUGAGGAAUCGCUCGCACACCGCAGUUCCUUGACCUAGCUGCUGAAGACUGCCGGGCCUGGGACCUCUGGCCCCAUCUACCAUCACUGUAUCGGAGCCCAGGUUAACUCUGUCAGUAGCAGGCAGGAACCCCCAUCACUAAUUAUUACCAACUCCUCCAAGCUGCACACCUCCCGGCUAAGGCAAGAGGACACCAAACAGGAUCAGAUGAUGUCUCAAGAGGGACCAAAAAGGCCGACAAGGCAGGAAAAGAGGUCUGUUUCCUCUGCCCCUGUCCCUCUCCCCCUCACCAGCCCCGCAAUUCAAACCCAGUAUUCUGCCACCAAAAACCUUCACUGUUAAGGAGCCUCCUUCCAAGGGAACUGGAUAGCCAAACAAAUUGAGGAAAUUCUAACAUCUCUUAUCAAUGCACACCCCCUGUACCUUCUCCUUCACCCUUCUAUCCCACCUCCACACCUGUUUACACACUAAAAAAACCAAACUGUCCUGUAUGCUCCGUCACUUCCUCUCAAGGAGCCCUCCACUGUCCUCCUGUCCCUGCACAUCAGCUGAGAAAAAGUCUCUCCUCAUAAUGUAUCAAAUAUUAAAAGUCCUCUCCUCUCUCCCCCAUGCGCGCACACACACACACAAACACACACGUCUCAAGAAGAGUUUAUCCAUUCCUGUUUCUCCCUUUACUGCCCACUCAGCUAUCCCAUUUUCUCAGCCCUAGGACCAUAUUCCCAUUUGCUUCUCACACGCCAUCCAAAAAGGCUCUGCCUUUGUAGACAGAGCCUUCACCCUCACUAUCCCACUGUCCUUGGUAAUAGAGCUACCAAACUUCUUUGCACAUAUACUGCCAAUAACCACCACGGAAAACUCCCAUAACUCUGUAUACCCCAAAACUUAGCCAAGCCACCAUAUGUGUCACCUCUUCCAACAAACACAUACACAUAGGCACCAUCCCUCCCUCUGCCUGUGGUUCUACUCAAACCAUCUCCCAUCCCUCACUCUCCCCUGAAGCUAACGGCCCUUUUUACCCAGACCCUCCACAUUACCUCCUCUCCUGCCUCUCAAACAUGGAAACCCCUUCCUGAGACAGGAGUUCUCAAAGGGGUCUCUCUCUCUCCCCCUCACUCUGGGUUGCUAAAGCUGGACCAGUUCCCUCCAAAUAAGGAACCUACACACUCCAACACCUAUUCUGAAUCCCUUGUCCAUUUACAUUAACACCAGAGGCAUCUUCUUCCUCUGAGAUCCAUAACCUAUUUCUGUCUCCCUACCAACUAGACAGGUACUUGCACCCUAAUCUACCUCCAACAUUAAAUUAACCUUGUCCUCCAAACCAAAAAACUCCCUGUCCCUACUAUACACUACACGCCUACCCCCACUAAAAAAAUAUAGUUCAUUCCCUUAUUAGUAGCCCUUAAAGUCACAACUAGUGUCAGGUUAGAAGCAGGAAGUCUAAAAACCUUGUUAUCAUAUUUCUAGUUGCUCUCCCAAAAUUUCCAAUCGUCAGUAAAAAAAAAAGAAACCAUAGCAAAGUCUAUCACUAACCUUCAAAACCAACUAGACUCUUUAAAUCAAUCACUUUACAAAAACCUCAGAGGCCUAGGCCACCUCACUGCUGGGGAAAAAAAGUCUGUGCCUCUUUUUAAAUAACCAAUGCUGUUUUUACCUCAGUAAAUCUAGAUUAUACAAAAUACUAUCAAAAGGCUUAAAGACCAAACCCAAAAAAUUUAAAAGACAUUCUACUGCCUGGCUCUGCUGGCCCGGUUGGUCUCUCAGCUCCUGGGCUCCCUAGCUGCUUCCCCUCCUCAGCCCUGCUAUAACUCUCCUCCUCCUCUUGGUCUUUGGCCCUUGCCUCUUACGCCUUUUCACCCAGUUUUUUACAGAAUCAGUUACAAGCUUUUACCUGUGGCACAUUACAGGACAUGAUGGUGUUCUAGGACUACCAACUUGCAAGCCAGCCUCACCCCAACCAGCGUCCCUACUCAGCAUGAAGCAGCUAAAAACAAACGGUGCCCCUUUUCUCACACACACACACACAUACAUAUCAAUCAAAAGGCUAGAAAGGUAGGGUCACAGCAAGGCAAAUCCAUAGACCCCCUUUGACAUUCUCCCCUGCUAAGCCGAGCUCAUGCCCUAUAAACAGGGCACCUAGGUUCCAGGAUGUGGUCGCACCCAGCUCUCAAACCCAGAAUGUUGACCCAAUUUAGCAGAAUGUUAGCCCCUAAGAACCAAGAUGUGGUUUUUCUUAGAACAGCACCUGGCUACCUGCAAACUCCUAUAUAACCCCCAUAGUCUAUAAGCCAGGCUGCUGCCUUCACUGCCUGUGGUGAGGCAGCCAGCCUGGCAGGUUGAAAUAAACUUGCUAAACCUGACCCUGGGUCUGCCUGUCCAUCCUUUUAGUCAACCUUACAACAGCUGACAGCUAUUACCAGUGCUGUCUCUGAAAAGUGCUUAACCUGUGCACAAAACAACCCUAGACAAGGACCAGUCCGGCCCCCAGGAAUUCACCCUCUGUGAGAACCUGAUUGUAGAUUUUACUGAGUUACCCUGUAAGAGGUCUUAAGUAUUUAUUGAUCUUUGUAUGCCCCUAUUCCAAGUGGGUAAAGGUUUUCCCCAACUGAAAAGGCCUGAGAAGUAACUGGGUGUUACCAGCACUCAUUAUUCACAAGUUUGAGGUGCCUUUGACUAUCGGGUCAGAUAAUGGCCCAGUAUUUGUAGCUGAAGUUGUUCAACACCUAUCCCAGUUACUAAAAACAAGAUGGAAGUUGCAUAUUACAUACUGUCCCAAGAGUUCAGGAAAAGUUGAAAGGAUGAACCAAGCAAUAAAGCAAUUGUUAAAAAAAACACUUCUGUCUAGUAACCCACCUAAAGUGAGACCAGGCUCUACCCAUGGUUCUCCUUCAAAUCAGAUGCACCCAGAAAAAAAGCCAGGAUACUCACCCUACAAAGUUAUGUUUGGAAGGCCGCCCCCUCUCAUUACCAAAAUUAAAGGAGAUCUCAAAGAAACAGGAGCACUAACAUGGAGAAGACAAAUGUAGGCCUUAGGUACAGCUAUGAAAGAAGUACAAAGUUGGAUGCAAGAAAGAUUGCCAGUAAGUCUAGCCCAGUCCACCCAUCCCAACCACAUUAGGACGGGCCCUUUAUUGUAAUCUUAUCUACCCCCACUGCUGUUAAGGUUGCUGAAGUUGUUCCCUGGAUCCAUCACAGCUGGUUAAAGCAAGCUGCUGCCCAGGACACAUGGACCAGCCAGCCAGACCCGGGUCAACCCACCAAACCAACCUUAAGACGAAUGGCAAACAGAGACCAAAUUCAGACCAGCCUAACCUCAGACACAACUAAUAAUGAAGAAUCAUCAAGCCCUGCUCUAGUCACAUAACCGAAAGCUGACUAGUCAACGGACUAGCUGACACUUGAGGAAUCUCCACCAGAUAAAUAAAGGUGGUAAGACUCCAGGAGAAAGACACUGGCAAGUGUUAGAGGAAAAGAGGCAAGUUUAUCCAAAAGCGUUACGGAAAUCCCCGAAAAAGGACAAUGCAAAGGCCCGGAGGAUUUGCUGACGUGGGGAAGGGGGUAUGCUUGUAUUUUUGGAGAUGGACAAACCGUGUGGGUGCCCUCCAAGUAUGUGUGACCAUGGAACAGGACACUGGAGGGAUCCAUGGUGGCCAGCUGUGGGCCCAGUUCCUCCAGUAUGAACCAUGAGCCAACUGGAUCUGAAUUCGAAGAUGGAACAAGGGCCAACCACAGUCACAAUCACAACCAAACCCAUAACAUGGGGACAGAUCAUGAAAAUCAUGUAGGAGGCUGAGAAACUGAUGGAGCACCAGGGUCAGGCAAAAACCUUGACUCCAUGUUCGCCGUGGUGUCCUAUGUGGUAUGUUUCCCCUAUGUAGAGGCAAAAACAUAUUGGACGUAUGUUCUGUUCCCAACCCUCCACCUGAAAUGUAUCACGAUCAGGAAGCGUAGGCUCCAGGAGCCAUGACUGCCCCGGACACAGAACAACUAAACUCUCAUUUAUGAAACGGAGCAUCUGGGUCAGAACACUAUUCAAUAAUAGUAAUUCUGUUCAACGUACUUUAAUAUCACCUUCGUUAGAAACAUUACCACUCAAUUUACAGUCUGUGUCUUCAAUCCUUAUGUUUUUCUAGUGGCUUUAAAAAAGGUCAACUCCAGGUAAAUGUCACCCAACUGACGUCUGUCUCUUGUCAAUUUUAUUAUUGCCUUAAUCAUAGCACUAUAUGAAAACAGAACAUAUCCACGCUAAUAAUUCUUAGUCAUAUUCCUGGAUUAUGGAUUCCUGUCAAUUUGUCUGACCCAUGGGCUGCUACGCUCGCUUUACAUUUCGUGAACCUUCUUACCAGCUCACUUGUCACGCUUGUAGAGCCUUAGGCAUGAUAAUUUUUGCUACAGUCUCCUUGGUCACACUGAUAACUUCUGUUGUGGUGUCCUCAGUAGCACUAGUUUGAUUCAAACAGCCCAAUAUGUAGAAAGUUGGACACGUACAGCUGAUCAGACAUGGAUGCUCCAAAAUAAAAUUGAUGUGGAAUUACAAACAGAAGUAACAAUGCUAAAGUCUACUGUUUUGUGGCUGAGAGAACAAGUACAAAGUUUGCAAUUGCAGCAGCAAUUGCACGGUCAUUUUAACCAUACUCACAUUUCUGUAACCAAUUUGGAAUACAAUUAAAGUGAAUAUCCAUGGAACCUCAGAAGCUUUUACAUCCAAUGUUACUUUUGAUAUCAGUGAUUUA